rnacentral:rRNA from 1 species
UUCAGGAUGAACGCUAGCUACAGGCUUAACACAUGCAAGUCGAGGGGCAGCAUGGUCUUAGCUUGCUAAGGCCGAUGGCGACCGGCGCACGGGUGAGUAACACGUAUCCAACCUGCCGUCUACUCUUGGACAGCCUUCUGAAAGGAAGAUUAAUACAAGAUGGCAUCAUGAGUCCGCAUGUUCACAUGAUUAAAGGUAUUCCGGUAGACGAUGGGGAUGCGUUCCAUUAGAUAGUAGGCGGGGUAACGGCCCACCUAGUCUUCGAUGGAUAGGGGUUCUGAGAGGAAGGUCCCCCACAUUGGAACUGAGACACGGUCCAAACUCCUACGGGAGGCAGCAGUGAGGAAUAUUGGUCAAUGGGCGAGAGCCUGAACCAGCCAAGUAGCGUGAAGGAUGACUGCCCUAUGGGUUGUAAACUUCUUUUAUAAAGGAAUAAAGUCGGGUAUGGAUACCCGUUUGCAUGUACUUUAUGAAUAAGGAUCGGCUAACUCCGUGCCAGCAGCCGCGGUAAUACGGAGGAUCCGAGCGUUAUCCGGAUUUAUUGGGUUUAAAGGGAGCGUAGAUGGAUGUUUAAGUCAGUUGUGAAAGUUUGCGGCUCAACCGUAAAAUUGCAGUUGAUACUGGAUAUCUUGAGUGCAGUUGAGGCAGGCGGAAUUCGUGGUGUAGCGGUGAAGUGCUUAGAUAUCACGAAGAACUCCGAUUGCGAAGGCAGCCUGCUAAGCUGCAACUGACAUUGAGGCUCGAAAGUGUGGGUAUCAAACAGGAUUAGAUACCCUGGUAGUCCACACGGUAAACGAUGAAUACUCGCUGUUUGCGAUAUACUGCAAGCGGCCAAGCGAAAGCGUUAAGUAUUCCACCUGGGGAGUACGCCGGCAACGGUGAAACUCAAAGGAAUUGACGGGGGCCCGCACAAGCGGAGGAACAUGUGGUUUAAUUCGAUGAUACGCGAGGAACCUUACCCGGGCUUAAAUUGCAGAUGAAUUACGGUGAAAGCCGUAAGCCGCAAGGCAUCUGUGAAGGUGCUGCAUGGUUGUCGUCAGCUCGUGCCGUGAGGUGUCGGCUUAAGUGCCAUAACGAGCGCAACCCUUGUUGUCAGUUACUAACAGGUUCCGCUGAGGACUCUGACAAGACUGCCAUCGUAAGAUGUGAGGAAGGUGGGGAUGACGUCAAAUCAGCACGGCCCUUACGUCCGGGGCUACACACGUGUUACAAUGGGGGGUACAGAGGGCCGCUACCACGCGAGUGGAUGCCAAUCCCCAAAACCUCUCUCAGUUCGGACUGGAGUCUGCAACCCGACUCCACGAAGCUGGAUUCGCUAGUAAUCGCGCAUCAGCCACGGCGCGGUGAAUACGUUCCCGGGCCUUGUACACACCGCCCGUCAAGCCAUGGGAGCC